rnacentral:rRNA from 1 species
CGGGUUCCUACACAUGCAAGUCGAAGCGAUUUUACUUUCGGUAAGAAGCGGCGGACGGGUGAAGUAACGCGUGGGUAACCUCGCCCCAUACACAUGGAUAACAUACCGAAAGGUAUGCUAAUACAGGAUAAUAUAAGAGAUUCACAUGGAUUUCUUAUCAAAGCUCCGGCGGUAUGAGAUGGACCCGCGUCUGAUUAGCUAGUUGGUAAGGUAAUGGCUUACCAAGGCGACGAUCAGUAGCCGACCUGAGAGGGUGAUCGGCCACAUUGGAACUGAGACACGGUCCAAACUCCUACGGGAGGCAGCAGUGGGGAAUAUUGCACAAUGGGCGAAAGCCUGAUGCAGCAACGCCGCGUGAGUGAUGAAGGCCUUCGGGUCGUAAAACUCUGUCCUCAAGGAAGAUAAUGACGGUACUUGAGGAGGAAGCCCCGGCUAACUACGUGCCAGCAGCCGCGGUAAUACGUAGGGGGCUAGCGUUAUCCGGAUUUACUGGGCGUAAAGGGUGCGUAGGUGGUUUUUUAAGUCAGGAGUGAAAGGCUACGGCUCAACCGUAGUAAGCUCUUGAAACUGGAAAACUUGAGUGCAGGAGAGGAAAGUGGAAUUCCUAGUGUAGCGGUGAAAUGCGUAGAUAUUAGAGGACACCAGUAGCGAAGGCGGCUUUCUGGACUGCAACUGACACUGAGCACGAAAGCGUGGGGAGCAAACAGGAUAGAUACCUGUAGUCCACGCCGUAACGAUG